UACGGGGGGAGCAAGCGUUGUUCGGAUUUACUGGGCGUAAAGGGCGCGUAGGCGGCCAGCACAAGUCAGUUGUGAAAUCUCCGAGCUUAACUCAGAACGGCCAAGUGAUACUGCUGUGCUAGAGUGCAGAAGGGGCAAUCGGAAUUCUUGGUGUAGCGGUGAAAUGCGUAGAUAUCAGGAGGAACACCAGAGUCGCAAGGCAGCUCGCUGGGACGUGAACUGACGCUGAGACGCGAAAGCGUGGGGAGCAAACAGG
rnacentral:rRNA from 1 species